rnacentral:lncRNA from 1 species
CAUGAGCAAGUCAUAUUAGAUUAAUUGAUCUAAUUGGUGUCUAGGAAAGCAUGAAAGGUGGUUACUUAAUUAGGACCUUACUCUCUGAGUAAGGGGAGCCUUCCACCUGCUUACCUGGCCAAUUGUUCGAUUACCUCUUAUGAAGAGCUCAAGUUGCAAACACUAAGACCUGAUUAACCAAUAUUAAGUCAAUAGGUCUUCCACUGUAGUAGAGCUGCUAAGGUCUUUCUAAUGUUGAUUUGUCUCGGCUGGAUACAGUGGUCAAGUUGCAUCGGGGGGCUGGACCUCUCUAUAGACAUGAGAUGUUGUAGGGUAAAGGUGGGGUUGGGCACCAAUAACUGUUAGGUGAGGGUCCAAUGACGACUUUAUUCCUACGGUUGUACGGUGGGUCUGACUUAACUAAGAAAUGGGACCAAUAACUGUUAGGUGAGGUUUUCAUGGCUUAGAGACCAAG